rnacentral:tRNA from 230 species
AAAAUCCGUCGACUUUAAAAAUCGUGAGGGUUCAAGUCCCUCUAUCCCC